GCGGCCGCCGUAGGGCCCCGCCCGCGCGGGGCGGAGCGGCCGCGGUGCCACGUCCCGACGGGCGCGGAGCGGCAGCGGCGCGGCCCGGCCAUGGGCGCCUCGCAGAGCAUCGACAUCCCCGGCGGCGGCACCGAGGGCUACCACGUCCUGCGGGUACAAGAAAACUCACCGGGGCAUAGAGCUGGAUUGGAGCCAUUCUUUGAUUUUAUUGUGUCCAUUAACGGUUCAAGAUUG